rnacentral:rRNA from 1 species
UGGGGAAUAUUGGACAAUGGGCGCAAGCCUGAUCCAGCCAUGCCGCGUGAGUGAUGAAGGCUCUAGGGUUGUAAAGCUCUUUCACCGGUGAAGAUAAUGACGGUAACCGGAGAAGAAGCCUCGGCGAACUUCGUGCCAGCAGCCGCGGUAAUACGAAGGGGGCUAGAGUUGUUCGGAUUUACUGGGCGUAAAGCGCACGUAGGCGGACUUUUAAGUCAGGGGUGAACUCCCGGGGCUCAACCCCGGAACUGCCUUUGAUACUGGAAGUCUUGAGUCUGGUAGAGGUGAGUGGAAUUCCGAGUGUAGAGGUGAAAUUCGUAGAUAUUCGAAGGAACACCAGUGGCGAAGGCGGCUCACUGGACCAUUACUGACGCUGAGGUGCGAAAGCGUGGGGAGCAAACAGG